UCCCUGCUGGUUCAAAUGGUAAAGAAUCUGCCUGCAGUGCAGGAGACCCAGGUUCAAUCCCUGGGUUGGGAA
rnacentral:tRNA from 1 species